GACUACGGGUGGCAGCAGUGAGGAAUAUUGGUCAAUGGGCUUACGCCUGAACCAGCCAAGUCGCGUGAGGGAAGACUGCCCUAUGGGUUGUAAACCUCUUUUGUCAGGGAGCAAUUGGCGCUACGUGUAGCGUUAUCGAGAGUACCUGAAGAAAAAGCAUCGGCUAACUCCGUGCCAGCAGCCGCGGUAAUACGGAGGAUGCGAGCGUUAUCCGGAUUUAUUGGGUUUAAAGGGUGCGUAGGCGGCCUUUUAAGUCAGCGGUGAAAGUCUGUGGCUCAACCAUAGAAUUGCCGUUGAAACUGGGAGGCUUGAGUAUGUUUGAGGCAGGCGGAAUGCGUGGUGUAGCGGUGAAAUGCUUAGAUAUCACGCAGAACCCCGAUUGCGAAGGCAGCCUGCCAAGCCAUGACUGACGCUGAUGCACGAAAGCGUGGGGAUCAAACAGGAUUAGAUACCCCUGUAGUC
rnacentral:rRNA from 1 species